ACAUAGACGGGACCCUUGGCCAGUGUUAAAGUUUAGAUCUAGUCCACGAUGUAUGCUUCACGUUCAAGUUUUCUUUGUUUAUUUAAUAUUAAUAGAAAUCUGCCCACACUCUGAUUUUGUGUACUGUUUACACUGCAGUCUAAGCAUGACAAUGUCAAUACUGUUACCCCAGCUGGAACAGGCAGGCUAUUUUAAAGUGGGCCUAUGGACUGAAUUGACUUGAGGCUUCAGUGUAUUUUCCUUGUGGUGAUUAUUCCUACAUUGUAAUAAAACAGCACAUUGAAAUUCUUCCUGAAAGUUGAUGAUGCAUCUGAUUGCACAUGAUUGCGCAAACACUUGAAGAGACAAAGAUUAAUUCAGCACUUGCCCAAUGAAUGCUUGCUGGCUUUGCAAACAUUUGAAAGGAUUGUCUGUAAAUGGGGAAAAAAAUGUGUUUGGGCGUCUGCAGAUGGACCUGAUGACACUGGAUUGACCUGUUUAAUUAAUUAAAUAUCCACUGCAGAUAGUAGAGAAAUACACAAACGCAUUGUUGCUAAAUUAUAUUUAAUAAUUUAAUUUACACUUUUCUAAAAGCUAUAAGAAUGAUCACAAAUCCAGUUAACUAAUAAAUGUAUAAUACUGAUAUCACUGAAGAGUAGUUGGUCUUAGAGUUAGAAACUGAGUAUUUAAAAAAAUCAUUUUAAAAAUUCUUUUUUAUGAGAUGAAUAGAAACAACAAAUGAUCACUACACAGUGAUACAAUAAAUUUUGUUACAAAC